rnacentral:rRNA from 1 species
GUGGGGAAUUUUGGACAAUGGGGGCAACCCUGAUCCAGCCAUCCCGCGUGUGCGAUGAAGGCCUUCGGGUUGUAAAGCACUUUUGGCAGGGAAGAAAAGUUUCGGGCUAAUACCCUGGAGCGAUGACGGUACCUGCAGAAUAAGCACCGGCUAACUACGUGCCAGCAGCCGCGGUAAUACGUAGGGUGCAAGCGUUAAUCGGAAUUACUGGGCGUAAAGCGUGCGCAGGCGGUUCGGAAAGAAAGAUGUGAAAUCCCAGGGCUUAACCUUGGAACUGCAUUUUUAACUGUCGAACUCGAGUAUGUCAGAGGGGGGUAGAAUUCCACGUGUAGCAGUGAAAUGCGUAGAGAUGUGGAGGAAUACCGAUGGCGAAGGCAGCCCCCUGGGAUAAUACUGACGCUCAUGCACGAAAGCGUGGGGAGCAAACAGGAUUAGAAACCCCAGUAGUCC